rnacentral:lncRNA from 1 species
ACGGAGGGCGGAGGCACAGCUCAGCUUCAACUAAAUCUCUGUCCGACGAAAAUCUUCCUCAUUGGCGACGCAGUGCUCUUCCUCGCCGAUGCUGUUGUGGUCCGCCAUGCUCUUGUCCUUGCUGCGCGGCUCUGCUCCGCCCUGUCCCGCUCCGGCAUCGGCGCCUUGCUCGCCCCACCCUUACCUGGUGCCGGCGCAGCCUGCUUGCGCUCGCCCUCUACGCACACCGGCGAGGAUGAAGAGACCAAGAAGACAACGUCGGUGAGUAUUUUUGGCGCGAUUUCCCCCCUUGCGCGCAGCUAGAUCCGUGCGGCGUCGCCUCAAGACGACAGCUUCCUACAAUGCGAAACUAGCCGUCGAGUUCGUCUGGGAGCACGAGCGCUCGCUGUCCUUUCGUGAAGCGACGGCUUCACUCUCUCUCCUCAUUUACUGUAGCGAACUGAGGGGAUUUUCGUAAAAUUACCAUCCGCAGACGACGGCCAGCAUGCCCGUUGUACGUGCCCUAAGGGUCCGUAUAGUUUGGUUGAAGUGGAAUUUGAUGCGCAUGCUUAUUGUGAGAAAUAAUAGCUACACGCAUUUGCCUAUAGCUUGCUUUGACACUAAUCCAGUUCUGUUUCUUGCCAUGGCCAACAGCUUCCAGUUCAUAAAAAACUGAGCUCCCUUUCUCUCAGUUGGGAUUGGGGGUCUGGUGCUCAAUGAUGGCUAUGCUUUUGAUUUUGUUUUGCUGGCCUCUUUUUUUCUACCUCUUUCUGAAAUUACAUUGUGCUUCUCCGUGUUCAGCGUUCCUUCAGUGUUGCCGCUAUUGGUGGGCUGCUAAGCUUGAUGCUGAGCUUUGUGAUACCUUGAUGUGUGCUGUGUUCUACAUUAUUUUUUUUUUGUCUUUUUAAGUGUAGUAGAUUUUUGUUGAUAUCCAAUUUGGUAAAAUGGUAGUUCUUCAGAUGAACUUCUCUGGAUCUAAAAAAAAUACUUUCAGAUUGGCCGUCUUUUUAGCAUGUGCCUAAUCUUUUUUUGUUGCUACUGUAUUUAGCUAGAGUUGUGAAGUUUUACUUCUGUCUGUACUAAUGAAAAAUUAGUAAAAACAAAUAUUCAGAUGUAUUUUUGCUCACUAGACUUUUGAUAGUAGAUUAAUAGGUUUCUGUUUGUGUAUUUUGAAGGUGACGGUGAGUGCAACCGAGUUUCUCGAGCGCAAUGGCAUAAGCCUUGGUGAGCCAGCUGGUCUUGAUUCAUUUUACCUUGUCCAUCUUCUCUCACCCAUUCCCAUUUUGAUUAUUCAUUUACUGCAGUUUGUUAAUAUGAGUCAUGCCAAUGUCAUGUUUGGUUCGACAACGUUGUGCCUGCAAUUAUUACUAUUGAUCCUCAAAAUUUAGGCAUUAAGUUCUUAUUACUUUGGUAUUUCAAUGGUAAAGGUUGUUCUUUGGUUUAGUAUAAGAGAAAAGUGUACUUGUUGUAUGGUAAUCAUGGCAUAAAAAUAGAAUUUUGUAUCAUGAUAACAAAUGGGAAAUUUCUAGAAGAGGUCACCUAUUGGUCUUGACUUUCUUCUGACAAUGCUUUAUUGAUUCUGAAUGAAAUGGAGAAAUAUGUUAGCUUAGCUAAGGGAGGUUUGGUCUCAGAGAGCCGAGAUAAUUGAUGGAUAUAUGAUGCAUGAUUUUGAAUCUUUAGCCAAAAUGCAAUUUUUGAUAAAAAAACAUGGCAUCCUGAAUAUGUUACCUACCUAUGGCACUCUUUCAAGCAUUGUGGAAACGGAUAAAUUCUAUAUAUUUUUAAGUAUCCCAACGGGUGCUCCUAGCGGCAAGUGUGUUGCACCAUUCUCUUCUUUUUAGAAAAAAACAAAGUUGCGUAUUCAAUAGUAUAGGAACUAUGCUUGACUACGGAAGAAUAUAUCAUCUCAUAUUAGUUUUAAUUUGCAAUUAUCCGUACCAUAGUAGUUUUAGUUUGUAUAUUCGAAAUAUAACCGUAGCGUUAGCACGGGCAUACUACUAGUACUUUUAAUGACAGAUUCUGGUUGGUUGGCAGUUGUACAUGGAUGGUUAAUUAUGUCUAGUGGCUGGCUGCUCAUGCAUUGCAAUGGAUUUCUAAUCCACUAGUUCAAUUU